CAGGCAGUGUCAGCCCUUGGAAGCUGACUGCUGCCUAGGGGUGCAAAAUAGCUUUAGGGACUGACCCCACCCCUGAUUUUGAGGAUUAGGAACCCCUGCUUUGUUGGAGGGGCAUAGACCCCAAGAGGUGGGUGAGAGGCCUGCUGAGAAACUGCUGGCACCCUAUUAGCAGCUUGGCCAUGUACUCCAAGAUACACAUACAGAAGGGGCUUGAACCCACCCCACCAAGGGUGCCUGGGUCUUCUCCACACCUGGCCACCACGUAAGGACAAGCUGGGGAUUGCGGAGGCAGGUAGAGAUGGAACCUCUAUAGCCUCAGGAGGUCCCCCCAGUCGCCUGCUGCCGAGGUCAGACCAGGUGGUGGGAGGUGAUGUCACCUAGCUACCCAGCUGGGGACUGAGCAGGCUGUGGGAGGGAGGGAGCAAACUCCAAAGGAAGGGAUGAGGACAGGGCUGGCAACCAGCCAAGGCCAGCUCUAUGGUCAACCAGGAUGUCUGGGGCUGAGAAGGAGGCAGUCGCUUGUUAUCUGCAGCUGUGGACUUUGCCACUCCCAGUCCUGGCAGGGUGACUUCCCUAUGCCUCUGCGGGACAGGCUGGCAUGCUGGGUGGGGCUGGAUGGGUCCUGAGGCCAAGUGAACGCUUUUGCUGCUGCACCAGGGCCACAGGGCGGAGUUUGGACAAGGAGUUGGCAGUCAUUCUUUUAUUCACCCAGCAGACACCCCCUUGAGCACUUGCUGUGUGCCCGGAAGUAUUCUGAAUGCCAGAGUUACUGAUAACAUUUUCUGUUCUCAUAAAGGUACAAGGGAGGCAUAGUCUUGACAUAGUGUGGGGCCCACCUCUGGAAAUCACACUGAAGCCCCAGAAUAUAAGAGAGAACCAGGGGCUGGAGUGGCCGGAGGGGAAAGUGCACUCCAGACAGCAGCCGCAGCCUGCGCAAAGGCCUGGAACCCUGAUGGGCUGAGAGGUUAUGAGGGAUUCGUGAGGUUCAGCACCUCUGGGGAGGGAGAGUGUUGGACCAGAGGGUGGGCCUGGCUACAUCCUUAGCUGUAGGCAGAUUGUUUCAUCUCUUUGUGUCUUACUCGUAUGUCUAAAAUGGAGGUAAUAAUGGUCACAGAAACUGCCAUCGCAGGGUGG
rnacentral:lncRNA from 1 species